rnacentral:rRNA from 1 species
CCUACGGGAGGCAGCAGUGGGGAAUAUUGGGCAAUGGAGGAAACUCUGACCCAGCGACGCCGCGUGCGGGAUGAAGGCCUUCGGGUUGUAAACCGCUUUCAGUAGGGAAGAAGCGAAAGUGACGGUACCUACAGAAGAAGCACCGGCUAACUAUGUGCCAGCAGCCGCGGUAAUACAUAGGGUGCAAGCGUUGUCCGGAAUUAUUGGGCGUAAAGAGCUCGUAGGUGGUUCGUCACGUCGGAUGUGAAAAUCUGGGGCUCAACCCCAGACCUGCAUUCGAUACGGGCGAUCUAGAGUGUGGUAGGGGAGACUGGAAUUCCUGGUGUAGCGGUGGAAUGCGCAGAUAUCAGGAGGAACACCAAUGGCGAAGGCAGGUCUCUGGGCCAUUACUGACACUGAGGAGCGAAAGCGUGGGGAGCGAACAGGAUUAGAUACCCUGGUAGUCCACGCCGUAAACGGUGGGCACUAGUUGUGGGAACCUUCCACGGUUUCUGCGACGCAGCUAACGCAUUAAGUGCCCCGCUGGGGAGUACGAUCGCAAGNUUAAAACCUUAAGAGUAUAGACGUGNGAGCGUGACGAGCACGACGGAGGAGAG